GGAGACAGGUGCUGCAUGGCUGUCGUCAGCUCGUGUCGUGAGAUGUGGGUUAAGUCCCGCAACGAGCGCAACCCUUGCCUUUAGUUGCCAGCAGUUCGGCUGGGCACUCUAAAGGGACUGCCGGUGUUAAACCGGAGGAAGGUGGGGAUGACGUCAAGUCCUCAUGGCCUUUAUGACCAGGGCUACACACGUACUACAAUGGCCGAUACAAAGGGCAGCGACACUGCGAGGUGAAGCCAAUCCCGUAAAAUCGGUCUCAGUCCGGAUUGGAGUCUGCAACUCGACUCCAUGAAGUUGGAAUCGCUAGUAAUCGUGGAUCAGCAUGCCACGGUGAAUACGUUCCCGGGCCUU
rnacentral:rRNA from 1 species